rnacentral:sRNA from 1 species
GGACUUCUGCUGCACUGGGGCUCCGAAUGACCCAGAAUCUGGGGUGGGCUUAGGCCCCGGCGGGCCAAUCCGAGCCUACAUCCUUGCCCACAAGGAUGCCAUCCAGCUCUGGAGGACGCUCAUGGGACCCACCAGAGUGUUCCGAGCACGCCAUGUGGCCCCAGAUUCUAUCCGUGGGAGUUUCGGCCUCACUGACACCCGCAACACCACCCAUGGUUCGGACUCUGUGGUUUCAGCCAGCAGAGAGAUUGCAGCCUUCUUCCCUGACUUCAGUGAACAGCGCUGGUAUGAGGAGGAAGAGCCCCAGUUGCGCUGUGGCCCUGUGUGCUAUAGCCCAGAGGGAGGUGUCCACUAUGUAGCUGGAACAGGAGGCCUAGGACCAGCCUGAUGCAGGUCUAUGAAGACCAGUGGUAGUGCCCAGACUUCUCCUAGACAUCUAGUCUAAAACAUUCUCCUAGGACCAGGGAAGCCUGGGCUUACAGUGCCAUUUCUGCUGGGCACCACCACCUGCCUGAGGGCCUAGCUCACCACAGCACAUCCUCCAGAAUCUAGCCUUCUAUCUACCUCUUCUCUGGAAUGUUUAUGGUGGUUCAGAAGAAUGAUGACUCCUCUUUGCUGAGAACUGUUCAUCCUUCUUCAAGAAGAAGCUUGCCAGGCCGGGCACGGUGGCUCACGCCUAUAAUCCCAGCACUUUGGGAGGCCGAGGCGGGCGGAUCACAAGGUCAGGAGUUCGAAACCAGCCUGACCAACAUGGUGAAACCCCAUCUCCACUAAAAAUACAACAAUUAGCCAGGCAUGGUGGUGCAUGCCUGUAAUCCCAGCUACUCAGAGGCUGAGGCAGGAGAAUUGCUUGAACCUGGGAGGCAG